GACGGAGGGCGCAAGCGUUGUUCGGAAUCACUGGGCGUAAAGCGCACGCAGGUGGUUUCUUAAGUCCACUGUUAAAUCACGGGGCUCAACCCCGGAGGUGCAGCGGAUACUGAGGGACUGGAGACUGGUAGAGGCUAGCGGAAUUCCUGGUGUAGCGGUGGAAUGCGUAGAUAUCAGGAGGAACACCGGUGGCGAAGGCGGCUAGCUGGGCCAGUUCUGACGCUCAUGUGCGAAAGCGUGGGGAGCAAAC
rnacentral:rRNA from 1 species